rnacentral:lncRNA from 1 species
CCUGGGGCUCCUGGGGCACAGAUCUGGGCCCUUUCCCAGAUGGGUGGGCCUGCUCUGACUCGCCACCGGCUGGGCUCCAGGCUGGGGGCGCCCACACAGCGGCAGAUCCCUGAGCCCCAGAGGGGCCUUUGCCAACCUCUGAGAGCAGCUGCCUGGCCCACUGCAGCUGCAGGAGGCUGGCAGCCAGUGGGGGCCGCUUGGGCUCACCUCCACCCCAACCAGGACCUGGGAGGGGGAGGCUGCCCAAGCCGGUGUCCACCCCAGGUGCAGAGGCCCCGCCCCUCCUGCAGGCUCUCUGCUUGCUGAGGAAGAUCAACCCAGGGCAUGGUGGGCUCAGGGGGCCUGGACCAGCACAUCUCCUCAUCCACUCACAGAUACUGUGUCACAGGCCCUCGCUGGGUGCCCCUGGGCAAGUCUCUUGCCCUCUCUGAGCUGUGAUGCCUUCCAUUUGGCAGAGAAGUGCCACCCCCACGACUGGUCAGCUGAGAGUCUCCGAGAGGGCACAGGCUGGGGGCAGCCACCCGCCCCCUACUGUGCAGCCAACUGCAGCUGCAAGGUCGGAGCUUCCGAGGUCUCCCCAGAGAGUUCCAGAAUCCCAGUCUUCCCAAGCCCUCGGGGGAGAGGCUGCCCGCCUGUGUUCCGCUGCCUUCUUGGGGCUCCUGAUAAUCCUUCCCCACAGUGGGGUGCAGGGGUGGGGGUCUUGCUGCUCCAUCUCCUGAGAGGCCCUGUGAAGGUGGUGUCCCCCUCCUGAGCCCCUGUGACUGAGGAACUGAGGCUGCCCCAGGGGGCUCUCUCACCACAACCCACCCCUGAGUUUUUUUUUUUUUUUUUUUUUUAAUAUUUAUUUUUUUUUAGUUUUCGGCGGACACAACAUCUUUGUUUGUAUGUGGUGCUGAGGAUCGAACCCGGGUCGCACGCAUGCCAGGCGAGCGCGCCACCGCUUGAGCCACAUCCCCAGCCCCCCACCCCUGAGUUUUGACCCUCCUGCUGUCCCCACCUCCCAAGGACUGUCGCCACAUGGGGGCCCAUGAGUUCAUCUCACAAGGUCUGGGGAGGCCUCGGAGCUCUGUCAGGAGGCCCAAGUCUGAUCAGCAAGGCUGGGGUGGUCUCCCCGCUGGACAGCCAGGCUCUGCCUUCCAGGGGCCUCAUUAGCCUCGGACUGGGGCUGGGGUGGUGGUAGAGCGCUUGCCCAACCCUGGGCCCCAUCCUCAGCACCAGCUAAUAGGAAGUAAAUAAAUAAAAUACAGGUCUGUGGUCCAUUUACAGCUAAAAAUAAAUAAAUAAAUUUUAAUUAAAAA